GGAGCUAUCAAAAUAAAGUGUAACCAAUCCAUGAGACAUGACUACUGCUCCAUUGACUAACAACAAGGUUUUUUUGUCUAUCAUACUUUUUCACAUGGUUUCUUUAUAGCUUAUCUUUACACUACUAAGGUAGGCUAAAUGAGAAAACACAGUACUACAGAGUAUUGGACUUUCCUUAAGGUGCUCAGUGAUGCUGUUAUGCAUGGUUAUAAAUGGUAGAAAAUAAUAUGGACAGUUGUUAAUACCUGCUUAAAUGCAGUGCUGAUAUUUUCUGUCUUAUGCAAUUCUUUUAAUGGCCAGAGUGUUGGUUUGACUAUACAUAGGCAAUAGUUCCAAAACCCAUCAGUAGAAAGGAUAUUCUUUAUGCUAUAGUUGUACAUCUGUAUCACACCAAAAUCUGGAUAAUUAAUAAAAAAUUAUAAUACCAUAUUUUAUAGUCUCUUAGGCCUUGUGUGCAUUAGGCUAUAAUUUUGUAAAUUAAGUAAAAUUAAGUAAACGUCAAAUGACUCAAAAAACAUCUGCAAUGUAAUUGCAAAAAAGAAGCAACAGAUCCACUGCAAACAAAAUAUUGUACAGUUCUUUGUUCAGAACACGAUUUGCAUAGCAAUCAUUUUUAAGGCAUCAGAACAACUCGGCAAGGUUGAAGUGCACUCAGGAGUCAGGAAGAAGCGUGCCUGUUGUGAAGGAGAUAGGUCUAACCACUAUUGGCGGCUGUGAAGAGGAAGCAACACGUUUGCGAGUUGUUUGAUGCAGGAAUUGGAAUAUUAGCUACCUGAACCUCCUACCAGGAGCAGUCAGGCAUCUUCAGGCUCAAACAUUUCUCCAUUACAUUGAAGGAGUUCUCCCCUGACAGCUGGACACUUUAUGAUUGCUGUGGACCAGACCAUUGGGAAAGAUGGUGUCACAAAUUGUGGUGAUGCCCUUCUAAUAAUCUUUGUGACCUACUACUGCCUCAACAUAAACUAUCCAGUGGAACAUGGUGCAACUCUGGAGUUCAUGCAAAGUAGGUAUAGGCCGAUUACCGGUUUGAAGGUAUACCGCGGUUUGAAAAUUUCACGGUUUCAAAACCACUAAUAUUUUCCAUUAUACUGUUCCUGCGGUAUGCGCUGUUUUCCAUGUCUCCUCAGAGAUUGAAAGAGUAGGAAUCCCUCAGGCUGAGUGCAGU